rnacentral:pre_miRNA from 1 species
AUGUAGGGCCAUGUGUCUUUAAGUAGGGAUACAUUACUCUAAAAAAAAAAAAAAGAAUCCUAGAUAGUUUUUCCUUCAAGUAGAGUAUUUGU